rnacentral:misc_RNA from 1 species
AGCAGCCGCGGUAAUUCCAGCCCCAAUAGCGUAUAUUAAAGUUGUUGCAGUUAAAAAGCUCGUAGUUGAAUUUCGGGAUUGAUACAUCGGUCGUGCCUUAAGGGGUAUGAACUGGUGUAGUCAAUUUCUCACCUUCUGGAGAACCGCGAUGCCCUUAAUUGGGUGCCGCGGGGAACCAGGACCUUUACUUUGAAAAAAUUAGAGUGUUUAAAGCAGGCAUUUUGCUUGAAUACAUUAGCAUGGAAUAAUAAAAUAGGACGGCAUGAUUCUAUUUUGUUGGUUUCUAGGAUCACCGUAAUGAUUAAUAGGGAUAGUUGGGGGCAUUAGUAUUCAAUUGUCAGAGGUGAAAUUCUUGGAUUUAUUGAAGACUAACUACUGCGAAAGCAUUUGCCAAGGAUGUUUUCAUUAAUCAAGAACGAAAGUUAGGGGAUCGAAGACGAUCAGAUACCGUCGUAGUCUUAACCAUAAACUAUGCCGACUAGGAAUCAGACGAUGUUAAUUUUUUAAUGACUCGUUUGGC